GAUGAACGCUGGCGGCGUGCUUAACACAUGCAAGUCGAACGAUGAAGCCCAGCUUGCUGGGUGGAUUAGUGGCGAACGGGUGAGUAACACGUGAGUAACCUGCCCUUAACUCUGGGAUAAGCCUGGGAAACUGGCUCUAAUACCGGAUAGGAGCGUCCACCGCAUGGUGGGUGUUGGAAAGAUUUAUCGGUUUUGGAUGGACUCGCGGCCUAUCAGCUUGUUGGUGAGGUAAUGGCUCACCAAGGCGACGACGGGUAGCCGGCCUGAGAGGGUGACCGGCCACACUGGGACUGAGACACGGCCCAGACUCCUACGGGAGGCAGCAGUGGGGAAUAUUGCACAAUGGGCGCAAGCCUGAUGCAGCGACGCCGCGUGAGGGAUGACGGCCUUCGGGUUGUAAACCUCUUUCAGUAGGGAAGAAGCGAAAGUGACGGUACCUGCAGAAGAAGCACCGGCUAACUACGUG
rnacentral:rRNA from 1 species